AUUGAACGCUGGCGGCAGGCCUAACACAUGCAAGUCGAACGAGUGGCGGACGGGUGAGGAAUGUCUGGGAAACUGCCCGAUGGAGGGGGAUAACUACUGGAAACGGUAGCUAAUACCGCAUCCCAUCGGAUGUGCCCAGAUGGGAUUGGCUAGUAGGUGGGGUAACGGCUCACCUAGGCGACGAUUCCUAGCUGGUCUGAGAGGAUGACCAGCCACCCUGGAACUGAGACACGGUCCAGACUCCUACGGGAGGGAGCAGUGGGGAAUAUUGCACAAUGGGCGCAAGCCUGAUGCAGCCAGGCCGCGUGUAUGAAGAAGGCCUUCGGGUUGUAAAGUACUUUCAGCGGGGAGGCGUUACUCGCAGAAGAAGCACCGGCUAACUCCGUGCCAGCCGCCGCGGUAAUUC
rnacentral:rRNA from 1 species